UUUACUUGUCAGCCGAAUGCACCCUGGGUCAAGGGGUAUUAACAAUGACCAAGUCCGAUCCAGAGAUAGAACACACAAGCGCCGUCACACUUGAGCAGCAGAACCAGAGCUCCAAGACACUCGGACGGACGGAGAUCUCGACAGGAGACGAACGACGAACAGGUGUUCCAACUUAUUCAUUAAAAGCAAAAAGGAAACAGACAGCGGCAGGCAGGAGAAUAUAGAAAACAGCUUCAA
ensembl:ncRNA lncRNA:CR44604 long non-coding RNA:CR44604